GACGAACGCUGGCGGCGUGCCUAAUACAUGCAAGUAGGACGCAGUUGCGAGCGGGAGAGUAACGCGUAGGUCACUGCCUAUGAGAGGGGGAUAACAAUUGGAACCGAUAGCUAAUAACGCAUACUAGAAGAUGGACCUGCGUUGUAUUAGCUAGUAGGUAGGGGAAUGGCCUCGCUAGGCGACGAUACGUAGCCGACCUGAGAUGGUGAACGGCCACACUGGGACUGAGACACGGCCCAGACUCCUACGGGAGGCAGCAGUAGGGAAUCUUCGGCAAUGGGGGGAACCCUGACCAAGCAACGCCGCGGGAGUGAAGAAGGUUUUCGGAUCGUAAAGCUCUGUUGGUAAGGAAGCGGUACUUAACCAGAAAGCGACGGCUAACUACGUGCCAGCCGCCGCGGUAAUUC
rnacentral:rRNA from 1 species